GGUAGCGUGGCCGAGCGGUCUAAGGCGCUGGAUUAAGGAUCCGGAGGCGUGGGUUCAAAUCCCACCGCUGCCA